UUUGACUGUGCAAAGGUAGCAUAAUCAUUAGUUUUUUUAUUGAAAGCUGGAAUGAAUGGUCGGAUGAGAAAGGAUCUGUCUCACUUUAAUUUAGAUUGAAUUUUAUUUUUAAGUUAAAAAGCUUAAAUUUUAUAGAAAGACGAGAAGACCCUAUAGAGUUUAACAGGCUAAAAUUUAAUUAUUAAAGGGUUUGAAUUUAAUUAUUUUUUAAUUUGUUUUGUUGGGGUGACAUAAGAACUGGAAUAACUUCUUAUUAUUUUUACAUUGAUAAAUGAAUUUGAGAUCCUUAUUUUUGGAUUUAAAGAAUAAAUUACCUUAGGGAUAACAGCGUAAUUUUUUUGGAGAGUUCUGAUCGAUAAAAGGGAUUGCGACCUCGAUGUUGGAUUAAAGUUAAAUUUUGGUGCAGAAGCUGAAAUAUU
rnacentral:rRNA from 1 species